rnacentral:snRNA from 1 species
AGCUUUGCACAGUGGCAGUAUUGAAGCCAAUGAGGUUUAUCUGAGGCUCAAUUAUUGCUAAUUGAAAAAAAAAAAAAAAAAAAAAACACUUUUUACCAGGAAGUGAGGAGGCAAGGCCAGGGGUUGGUGGAGGGGGUCACUUACUGAGACAGGCAAAUACAU